rnacentral:rRNA from 1 species
GACGAACGCUGGCGGCGUGCUUAACACAUGCAAGUCGAACGGAAAGGCCCUGCUUUUGUGGGGUGCUCGAGUGGCGAACGGGUGAGUAACACGUGAGUAACCUGCCCUUGACUUUGGGAUAACUUCAGGAAACUGGGGCUAAUACCGGAUAGGCGCUCCUGCUGCAUGUUGGGGGUUGGAAAGUUUCGGCGGUUGGGGAUGGACUCGCGGCUUAUCAGCUUGUUGGUGGGGUAGUGGCUUACCAAGGCUUUGACGGGUAGCCGGCCUGAGAGGGUGACCGGCAACAUUGGGAUGGAGAUACGGCCAAGACUCCUACGGGAGGAAGAAGUGGGGAAUAUUGAAAAAUGGGCGGAAGCCUGAUGCAGGAACGCCGCGUGCGGGAUGACGGCCUUCGGGUGGUAAACCGCUUUCGCAUGUGACGAAGCGUGAGUGACGGUAAUGGGUAAAGAAGCACCGGCUAACUACGUG